GAUGAACACUGGCGGCGUGCUUAACACAUGCAAGUCGAACGGAAAGGCUCCUGCUUGCAGGGGUACUCGAGUGGCGAACGGGUGAGUAACACGUGGGUGAUCUGCCCUGCACUUCGGGAUAAGCCUGGGAAACUGGGUCUAAUACCGGAUAGGACGAUGGUUUGGAUGCCAUUGUGGAAAGUUUUUCGGUGUGGGAUGAGCUCGCGGCCUAUCAGCUUGUUGGUGGGGUAAUGGCCUACCAAGGCGUCGACGGGUAGCCGGCCUGAGAGGGUGUACGGCCACAUUGGGACUGAGAUACGGCCCAGACUCCUACGGGAGGCAGCAGUGGGGAAUAUUGCACAAUGGGCGCAAGCCUGAUGCAGCGACGCCGCGUGGGGGAUGACGGCCUUCGGGUUGUAAACUCCUUUCGCUAGGGACGAAGCGCAAGUGACGGUACCUGGAGAAGAAGCACCGGCUAACUACGUG
rnacentral:rRNA from 1 species